AAAGUCGUAACAAGGUUUCCGUAGGUGAACCUGCGGAAGGAUCAUUAUCGAUUUCUGCGCGUGUUUUCGCGCAUGUAUUUAAAACCCCACUCCUAUAAAUAAUAUAUUUUACUUCAAAUAAGUAAAAAAGAUCACUUUCAACAACGGAUCUCUUGGCUCUC
rnacentral:misc_RNA from 1 species